CGGCCAGACUCCUACGGGAGGCAGCAGUGGGGAAUAUUGCACAAUGGGGGGAACCCUGAUGCAGCGACGCCGCGUGGGUGAAGGAGUAUUUCGGUAUGUAAAGCCCUAUCAGCAGGGAAGAACAAUGACGGUACCUGACUAAGAAGCACCGGCUAAAUACGUGCCAGCAGCCGCGGUAAUACGUAUGGUGCAAGCGUUAUCCGGAUUUACUGGGUGUAAAGGGAGCGCAGGCGGCGCGUUAAGCCUGGUGUGAAAGCCCGCGGCCCAACCGCGGGACUGCAUUGGGAACUGGCGCGCUGGAGUGCCGGAGGGGUAGGCGGAAUUCCUAGUGUAGCGGUGAAAUGCGUAGAUAUUAGGAGGAACACCGGCGGCGAAGGCGGCCUGCUGGACCGUGACUGACGUUGAGGCUCGAGAGCGUGGGGAGCAAACAGGAUUAGAUACCCUCGUAAC
rnacentral:rRNA from 1 species